UAUGUAGGUGGCAAGCGUUGUCCAGAUUUAUUGGGUUUAAAGGGUGCGUAGGCGGCCCUGUAAGUCAGUGCUGAAAUAUCCCAGCUUAACUGGGAGGGUGGCAUUGAUACUGCGGGGCUAGAGUACAGAUGAGGUAGGCGGAAUUGACGGUGUAGCGGUGAAAUGCUUAGAUAUCGUCAAGAACACCUAUAGCGAAGGCAGCUUACUAGGCUGUAACUGACGCUGAGGCACGAAAGUGUGGGGAUCAAACAGG
rnacentral:rRNA from 1 species